GAUGAACGCUAGCGGCAGGCUUAACACAUGCAAGUCGAGGGGCAGCGGGGAGGAAGCUUGCUUUCUCCGCCGGCGACCGGCGCACGGGGGAGUAACACGUAUGCAACCUGCCCCUGUCAGGGGGACAACCCGCCGAAAGGCGGGCUAAACCCGCGUACAUGCCACCGGGGCAUCCCGGAGGCAGGAAAGGCUUCGGCCGGACAGGGAUGGGCAUGCGGCGCAUUAGGCAGUAGGCGGGGUAACGGCCCACCUAACCGACGAUGCGUAGGGGUUCUGAGAGGAAGGUCCGCCACACUGGUACUGAGACACGGACCAG
rnacentral:rRNA from 1 species